rnacentral:tRNA from 1 species
CAAGAUGGCAGAUUUUAUGCGGUAGAUUUAGGAUCUAUAGACGAGUUUUUCUUUUG